GAACACUAAAAAUGUUGAAACACAACAACAUUAUUAAAAGUAACUUAAAUUUUAUCGCCAUGGUUAAACAUGGACGAAUACGAACCUAAAAAAAAAAAAAAAAAAAAAAAGGUUCUCUUAUUUUCGUAUUAACUUAAUAAAUCGGCCCCUCUAUGGCCCACACGAUAUUUACCUUAAUUAUUUAGUUUACGAAACGCAACAUUUUCAACGUUAUUGUUGCCACGAAAACGAGUAAUUUAAAUUAACCGAAUCUCAUUCUAUUCACAUCAAUUACUCGUAUAGUAAAUU